UAAACAUUUACUAAGCACCUCCUAAAUUCAGAACUGACACCUGUUGUUCGGGUGGCCAGUCAGGGUCUUCGAAGCAAUUCACACACCACAUUCCAUGUUCUUCAGUGACUCACAAGGAAGUUGGCAUUAUUGUGUGUGGAACAGCAGCAGAGCUUACUAACAUUCUCAGCUACAAAACAAAAAAUAACGAACCAGAGACUUCAGCUCAGUUCUUGUGAUUGGAGUUGUGUUUCCUCCAGAGUGACGAGCAUGGUAUAAGACGCCUCGCCCUGCACCCCAUCACGGCUCUCCCCAGACAGCCCUGACAGAGGGACAGGGAGGAGUCUCAUUUUGCAUCAAGAGCUUUCCAUGGGUCAUGUUAUUUCACCCUGCACGAUGCUGUGUGGUCUCAUCACCACUGAACACACAAGACCCUGAGACUCUGAGAGGUAGACACUGCACUCUACAGCUGCGAUUCACACCUGGAUCUGCUGGCUCAAGGUCUGCACUCUUUCCACUGCACCACAGUAACCCACAUGAAUCAGCAAUGAAAAGGCAAGACGGAGUAAGCUUCAAGCACUGAUGACCAUCUGUUUUAGCCCGAGUUGCCUAUGAAACAGAGCGUUAUGCAGAAGCUGAAGUACUAAUGCCUUGUUAGAGGAUGCAAGCCCAGGGAAGCAAGAGUGAGAGAGAGAAACCCAAAGGAAGGCAGUUUAAGGCUUCACAAAGUCAUUAACAAGCCAGACCACUUGCCACUCUCCAUGACACUCUCUAAGAUCCGACCUUCAUCCUAAAGGCUGAAGAUGGCUGCUAGAGCCCCAGCUACAUCCACAUUCCAGUCAGCGCAAAGGAGGAAACAGCAAAAAAGGCAAACACCUUCCCUUAGAAAGA
rnacentral:lncRNA from 1 species